UUUUUGAAAAAAUUUUACCACCAAAUAUGGUUGUCCCCCCCCCUGUCGAUGACACUUGGGACCAUAGAUAUAGGAGAACUAGCAAGUCCUGAGAUCUUCUUCAUGUCCUUCCUUCGUUUGUAGCAGAAUGACUAAAAGAGAGACGGAGAAAAGCAGAAACUGCUCUGUGUAAUCAUGAGCUGGCCGAUCAUAUAGGUUGUCUCGAUGCGCGACGAAUAAAUAUGGAGUGGGAUGCGAGUGCUCUACUACCCUUUAAUUUCGCCUUUGUCUUGGCGUGUGAUACACUAUAGUGGACUGUGAAGUAUGUUUAGUUCUAACUGCACGUGGGGUGUAUACGCGAUGGCAUAUAGUAGCAAAUAACGUCUGAAAUAACAGUGUAUAUAGUACCAGGAAUUGUCUUCAUCUGGUGAAAUAUGCCGUAAACCUUUUGGUUUG
rnacentral:lncRNA from 1 species